GAUGAACGCUGGCGGCGUGCCUAAUACAUGCAAGUCGAGCGAACGGACGAGAAGCUUGCUUCUCUGAUGUUAGCGGCGGACGGGUGAGUAACACGUGGAUAACCUACCUAUAAGACUGGGAUAACUUCGGGAAACCGGAGCUAAUACCGGAUAAUAUUUUGAACCGCAUGGUUCAAAAGUGAAAGACGGUCUUGCUGUCACUUAUAGAUGGAUCCGCGCUGCAUUAGCUAGUUGGUAAGGUAACGGCUUACCAAGGCAACGAUGCAUAGCCGACCUGAGAGGGGGAGCGGCCAACAUGGAAAUGAGAAACGGCCCAAAAUCCAAGGGGGGGACGCAGUAGGGAAUCUUCCGAAAGGGGGGAAAGCAUAAAGGGACAACGCCGGGGGAGUAAAGAAGGGUUUCGGAUGGUAAAACUCUGUUAUUAGGAAAAAAAAAAUGGGAAAGUAAAUGUGCACAUCUUGACGGUACCUAAACAGAAAGCCACGGCUAACUACGU
rnacentral:rRNA from 1 species